AAACAACAUAACAUCAAUCGGGACGAGACAGCGACAAUCUCGACUACAUUCUGGUGCGUAUAUUAUGACCAGCUGUCCCGCCCGCCUUUGUCCGUCUAUCAAAUGCUCAUUAAAACUUUUCCUUCUGAACAGCAGAGACCCGGUAGUCCGUUAGACCGUUAUAAUGCAUGUUAAAAGUUGCAAUUUAAAUUCGUAUUAUUUGUCGAAACGCGAGAAUCAUUUCUAUGAUCAAUCGAUUUGUUAUAAUUAAGGGCACGUUAUUCUUGUUUUCGUCGUUAUUAUUGUUGUUG